UACGGAGGGUGCGAGCGUUGUCCGGAAUCACUGGGCGUAAAGGGCGCGUAGGUGGCCUGUGGAAGUCUGCGGUGAAAGUCCGGCGCUCAACGCCGGAUCGGCCGUGGAUACUCUCGGGCUUGAGCUUACUAGAGGCAGAUGGAAUUCCGGGUGUAGCGGUGGAAUGCGUAGAUAUCAGGAGGAAUACCGGUGGCGAAAGCGACUCUCUGGACGGCAACUGACGCUGAGGCACGAAAGCGUGGGGAGCAAACAGG
rnacentral:rRNA from 1 species